rnacentral:rRNA from 1 species
UCCGAAAGGAGGCUAAUACCGCAUGAGACCACGGGUUCGAGAGGACUUGAGGUCAAAGCCGGCCACUUCACGAAAGCUGGCGCUUGAGGAUGAGCCUGCGGCCCAUCAGCUAGUUGGUAGGGUAAUGGCCUACCAAGGCGUAGACGGGUAGCUGGUCUGAGAGGAUGAUCAGCCACACUGGAACUGAGACACGGUCCAGACUCCUACGGGAGGCAGCAGUGGGGAAUCUUGCGCAAUGGGCGAAAGCCUGACGCAGCGACGCCGCGUGAGUGAUGAAGGCCUUCGGGUUGUAAAGCUCUGUGGAGAGGGACGAAUAAGUGUUGGCUAACAUCCAGCAUGAUGACGGUACCUCUUUAGCAAGCACCGGCUAACUCUGUGCCAGCAGCCGCGGUAA